GAGGGCGUGGCAGAGCAUGAGAGGGGGAGAGAGAAAUGGAGUGGUAGCCCAGUGGCAGGCGGUUGUCGCAAGGAGCGGCACGGAAGCCGGAAGAGGCAGUCUAGGAGGAGAGAAGACGGAGGACAUCCGCGCGACUGGGGGACAAGCGGAGAAGUAACGCCAAACGCCGGGCGGGAGACGAGAUACUUGAUACGAGCUUGAGCCUAUGACAGCGGCGGGCGAAGUUCGGUGUUGGAUCACUUGGUGAUGAUGUCUGAAGACCACCCGAGGGGACGUGGACAGAAAAUACCUCCAACAAAUCUGCAUGUUUGCAUGUUGGGUUGUAAUGAGCAGUGCAGUUAAACAGCAGGAUGAAUGAUAUUGUACUUGCUCUUUUUAAAGAAUAUUAUAAACUAUAUGAAUAAUUGAAUAUAUUUUUUUUCUUAUAUUUGAAUCCCAAUAACUGACUGAAAAGUCUGUCAGUCCUGCAUUUUGUUUUGUUAUUUUAUGAAGAAAUGGAUCAAUAAAAGUAAUUGUCAAAUGUGUA